rnacentral:lncRNA from 1 species
GGAGAAGAAAUUGUAUGAGGAUUUGGUGUUGAAUGUGAACAAUGGUAGGUUUUUUUUUGUUUUUUUUGGGUCAUAAGAGAUACUUCAUAAACCCCAGACAGGGGAGCCAAAAGGAGAAUACAAGAUAAGCAUAGGAAAGGAGUACAUGCUAGACACAGCUUAGUACAGGAAACCUAACCUAGCAAAACAAAAUAUUAAAUAACAGGGGGGCAAGGAAGCCCAUCAGAAGUUAAAACACCCAUAAGGGAUAGUGGUGGCUGAUCCAGCUAGGUGAUCCUAUGCACCGCUCCU